rnacentral:rRNA from 1 species
GACGAAGGAUGCAAGCGUUAUCCGGAUUCAUUGGGUUUAAAGGGAGCGUAGGUGGCCUUAUAAGUCAGUGGUGAAAUCUCUCGGCUUAACUGAGAAAUUGCCAUUGAUACUGUAGGGCUUGAGUACAGUUGCUGUGGGCGGAAUAUGACAUGUAGUGGUGAAAUACAUAGAGAUGUCAUAGAACACCAGUGGCGAAGGCGGGUCUCUGGGCCGAUACUGACGCUGAGGAGCGAAAGCGUGGGGAGCGAACAGG